AAGACAUUCUCUGGGUGAAGACAGGGGAGAAGUUUACCAUGAAGUGCUCCACCACUCUAAAAGACCAGGAAGGAAUGUACCUGUUGUUGGGCUGGACAGAGACAGGGAGGUGCUGUAUUACUACCAGCAUGACUCCAAGCGACCCCCAGGAAACGCUACUGGGACCGAGUGAAGACUGAGGGACCUGUGACCAACUGACCCUCACCGUCAGUAACCUGACCAUAGAGGACACAGGCGUCUACUGGUGUGUUUACACAAAAUUCAAUAAAGCCACAUAUGAAAUGACAUCAACCAAGGAAGAGGCUCCACUCUGGUCGUGGUGAUGGUAGAUGUAUGUUUUACUCUUCUAAUGAAUGACAGUCAAUUUCACAUGUAGAAAACAUUUGUGUAAUCUAGAAUCCGACUGGUGUUUCUCAGUCUUUGGUUCAUGAACUAGCAGCAGCCCCUGCAGUGUUUCAGACCAAUUUAGUCAACUCUCAAGUGUUAGUUUCAAUCUAAACCACCAGAGCCUUACAUGUCUCGAUACCAAAAAGUUGAGAAAAAUUGUCCUUCAGUGGCUUUUCUUUUGUACAAUUCUGUCUCCGAUAGUUAUUUUGUGUGAGUGCCGCAGCAUACUGACUAGAUUUUCCCAUCUGGUGAUGUCUUCCAUAGACGAUGCCCUCCAGCUGCCAUGCCCCACAGCUACUGCAGUAACACUGACCCCCUUUCACUCAGCCAACAAGAAGCCGUGCCCAUCCGGCGUGGAAAGCAUCAUCAUCAUCAUCAUCAUCACCAGCAUCUUGACCACCCUGAUAUGUGCCGUCAUCUUCCUCGUCUGGUUCGCUCCACUGGUGAAGAGGUGCUGUAACCAGGGAGGAUACACACCACAGGUCUUUCCUGACUCGGUCUAUGAAGACAUGGCCCGGAAUCACAUUUAUCCAUCAGGCACACAGCAGUGUUUUUAGGUCACUGGACCCCUCAUCAAGCUGUUCCUGUGCAUGUUGUCUGCACACAAAGUCAAAAGAGCUUCGAUGUUAAAAUGAGAACAGUUUGUUAAGAUUUGUAUUAUAUUCUAUCAUAGGUACAAAUAUUUUAGCUGCCUAAACUUUCAGGUACAUUAGGAUAUAAGCCAUUUUUAUAAUUACAUUUGAUUAAUCUAUGGUUUUAGUUGAGAUAGCUAGUAGGUUAAACCAUAAUGGUCUGAGUACAUUGUUUUCAUGCUGGUACGGAGUAUUGAGUGCGUCUUGUGGUUGGAAAAACUAUUUUUAACCAAGUGACGUAGUAUUUGUUUUACACUAUGAGUCACUGUUUUUUUACUUAUUUUUCAACUUCCUAACAGCUAUUUUCACUUUAAAUAAAUGUAAAUGUGUUUUGUAUUUUUUUUAAAGGGAGAAAAAUAUUCUCACCAUUUUCCAUUUUAAUCUAAAUAUUGAUACAUCAUUGAUAGUCAUGUGAUAUUCCCCUUGUGUAUGUCAUGUUUGUGUAUGUCAUGUUUAUGUUGUAUUUGUGUAUGUGUAUCUGGCAUGCAUUGGUGAUGUUCAGCUAUAUUGCUGACAGUAUAUUGUAUGUUUGGAAAGCUUUCUAGUUAAAUCAAUCGAAGAAAAAUUCAGGCAGGAAACUGGAGUGUUUGUAUCUGCUGAUAUUGAACCAAUUAGAUUCACUCUACUGUAAUAUGGCGGUCUAUUUAGUUAACCAGGUUAUUACAUCAUUUCAUGAUGUCUGCUGCACGCAAGCUAUGCACUGGUGUUCUUGGUGACAUGCUAUGCUGUAACAUGCGGUACUCACCCUGCAUGCCUGCUUUCUGACCACCCACCCCAGACUCCACCUGUUUGGGCACUGCUUUUGUUUCAGUCAGGGAGAUUGGUAUAGCAUACCUGGCUCACUGUUUGUUAUGUUAUCAUUAUGCAUGCUCUGGCAGUGAGCUACCCCGAAGGAGCAGAGCCUAACGCCAAGAGUAACAUAUUGACUGUAUUGUAGUCUUUUCUAAUAAAUGGUUAAACAAAUAUGUGACGUUUCCGGUCUGAAUCACUUUUAAUGUCCAAUUUACGUUUCAGUAGACAUGAGCAGCAUCAUUAAGUUGUUUUUGACUCAAUUCCAAGGCCCUCCACAACAACCAAACACACACAGCAUGACCUGCAAGACAUAUGAAUAUGGAACCUAGGCUGUAUCCCUAUUCUCACACUCUACGACUUUGUCUUUGUGUAAAUCUCAUUCUUAAAUCAGAAUGCGCAAGGUCUAAGUGGUACUCUCUUCUGAAUUAAACAUUUCUUUAAAAAAUUGUGCAUGUUUUAUAACAGCAUAGUAUGAAAAUGCACAUACAGAAUGUUUAUUUUCGGCAAAAUUGAGUUUUUACUUUUGGGUUAUUUAAAUACAAUGAUAUAAUUGUCCAUGGUGAUAUUACAGGUGGUGGUAGCAACUGGUAAAACAGUUAUUUUCAAUGGAGGCAGCUCAGUUGUCGUCCUCUCUGGAGAUCCCAGAGGAACACGGUAUGAUCCUGCAGAUGCGGCUGAAGAUCUUCCUAAUCAAGUUAUUUUGCUUCUUCGGCUAUUUGCCUCCAGCUCCGUCCUCUAUAAACAAUGAAAUACCGUUGGGUAUUGCAACAAUUUGCCAUGUAGAUUGCCUAAAUAAAUGUUUUGAAAACAUGUCUGGUGUAUGAGCUUCAAUAGAGAUGGGUUGUGUUGCCUUGAAUAUAGAACAACAGACCUGAGACUGUCGCUAACAUAAGUUCUUGAGUUACGACCUUCAGCAGGCAUUCAGUGUUCUGAAAACAGACAGACGAGAGCACUGUAAGAGUAGGAAUAACGACAAUCUUUACUGUAGCUGUUUCACAAAACAUACCACAGACAUCCAAAGAAAAUAAUUGUUGCUCAUUUGUAAUAUAAAUUUGUGAUAUGAUAUUACUUUGGACACAGUCGAGGGCCAGGUAUAAAUCAUAGCCUCCUGUUUCUCCGACUCUUUGCAGGAGGAGGACAUCUUUGUUACAGUUCUCUUCGCUGUUGGUGUUGCCCAGAGCGAGUUGCUCAGAUUUAAUCUCCAGGCACAUUACUCCUUGGUGAAUGGGGCCUAGUUGGUUGAGGUCUGCAUUCUCUGUGGAAUCCUUCUGCAAACAGACAGACAUACCGCAUAUAACUAUUGGAACCUAGUAGCAGUUUUACAAAACAUAUCGAAGUCAUAUGUACAUUGUCAAGUUGUCCAAAAUGAUACACAUAACCUGCAGGGUUGCUUGAAAUGUCAUUCAAAGACUAUCAUAAUAAUAGGCCUUUUCAGAUGGCUCUUAUUUCUAACCUCAGUGUUCACCUCCUCGUUGGCAACCUAUGGUGUCACCAGAAGAUGCUUGUGAAGGCUGAGGAAAUCUACCUCUGGCUUUCCAACAGCCAUAAACUUCCAAGGGCUGCUUCUCCAUCUCCGAGGGCUGAUGCUCCUCAACCUCCACAAGUUCCUCCAUGUUGGUACCUGGGUCUGAGGUCUGGACCUCAAUGAGGAUGAUGAUUAAGGAUUCUAAAAUGUUCCCCAUCACUCGCUGGAUCAACAGGACCUCCUCGUGGUCAGACAGGCAUUGGUCUGGAACCCGUAUUGAGGUGUUCACUGCCACGAGAUAUUCCAAGUACCUCUCCAGGUUUGGAAUAUCAGCCACUCUGCUUUAGAGCAUCAGGCUAUCGGCAAACAUCAGAAAUGAUGUWGGAGUAAACCUAAUAUCAACCUUUAUCUACGUUGCUGGCAGAGGCAGGGAACAGAGGGAUGAAGAAUGUAGUGGCUCCUAUUGAGCAGCCUGGUGGUCAGGGGAGUAGAACCUCUUGGCCAGUCUUCUAGUUUAUGCCAUGAUGCUGCUCUACUGCCUGCUUCUGAGUGAAGGAAGAGGGGAGAACAGGGCAUGGCUCAGGUGGCUGUGGUCCCUGAUCAUCCUAUUUGCCUUCCUGCGACACCUGGUGUUGUAGGUGUCCUGGAGGUCAGGCAGUGUGUGUUACGCCCCUGAAAAAGGGGAGAAAUAAUCACGAGAGUGAUACGGUGUCAUUUCCUCAAUAAUAACUUUUAGUGCAAUCAUUUUACAAAAGUAACACAUUUUACAGAACAACAGAUCUACAGGAAAUAGAUAGUCUUUAGGGUACAAGGCUUGUUCAAGUCACAACAGUAUACACUGUAAUUCACUGAAACAGUUACUAAUUUCAAUAUAACUGUCAAGCACAAAGCUUUAACUCAGUAAACCAAACUCAAUUUAUCAACAGGAAUAAGUAUUUGAAAAACCAUUAUGCAAUAAACACCGCAAAAUAUCUUAUUAACACGCACAUGUUCAUUCACAUCGACAUAAAAUGGCAGCUACGGGUGAACACCAGAGCAAUCGAUCUUAGGCUCAUAGAUUAAGAGCAUUUAGUAGAUCACAGAUGAACAUUUUCACCCUUCCAAUAGGCACCACAAAAUAAAGUAAUCAAUAUAACGUUUACACAAUCCUCUCACAAUUCGUACCCUUUGUACGCUUGGG
ensembl:lncRNA